rnacentral:rRNA from 1 species
GUGGAGAGUUUGAUCCUGGCUCAGGAUGAACGCUGGCGGCGUGCCUAAUACAUGCAAGUCGAGCGAAGUUUUUCUGGUGCUUGCACCGGAAAAACUUAGCGGCGAACGGGUGAGUAACACGUAAAGAACCUGCCUCAUAGACUGGGACAACUAUUGGAAACGAUAGCUAAUACCGCAUAAGAGUAGAUGUUGCAUGACAUUUGCUUAAAAGGUGCAAUUGCAUCACUACCAGAUGGACCUGCGUUGUAUUAGCUAGUUGGUGGGGUAACGGCUCACCAAGGCGACGAUACAUAGCCGACCUGAGAGGGUGAUCGGCCACACUGGGACUGAGACACGGCCCAGACUCCUACGGGAGGCAGCAGUAGGGAAUCUUCGGCAAUGGACGAAAGUCUGACCGAGCAACGCCGCGUGAGUGAAGAAGGUUUUCGGAUCGUAAAGCUCUGUUGUAAGAGAAGAACGGGUGUGAGAGUGGAAAGUUCACACUGUGACGGUAUCUUACCAGAAAGGGACGGCUAACUACGUGCCAGCAGCCGCGGUAAUACGUAGGUCCCGAGCGUUGUCCGGAUUUAUUGGGCGUAAAGCGAGCGCAGGCGGUUAGAUAAGUCUGAAGUUAAAGGCUGUGGCUUAACCAUAGUACGCUUUGGAAACUGUUUAACUUGAGUGCAGAAGGGGAGAGUGGAAUUCCAUGUGUAGCGGUGAAAUGCGUAGAUAUAUGGAGGAACACCGGUGGCGAAAGCGGCUCUCUGGUCUGUAACUGACGCUGAGGCUCGAAAGCGUGGGGAGCAAACAGG